rnacentral:lncRNA from 11 species
AGCAGAGAGGGAGACACAGAGUUUGAAGUGUGCUCCUGCUUCAUGAGCUGCUGGAAGGAAUUUAUCCCCAUGGACAAAGGAAAGACUAUUUUAGAUCUCUCAUGAAAGGACAUUAUGGACUCAAGGUCCACAACAUGAAAUACACCUAUACCAGGGGAAUCCUAAACAAGACUGUGACUUAACUCUUUGACAUUGUCUACUUCCA